UCCCCGCAGGGCGCGAAGGAGAAACUGAUAGUCCGCAGUGGGGUGAACUUAAAGACCUGACUUUCAUUAGCGUGGUGUUGUAACAGACUGGCCUCUGAGGAAAUGGACUUUACGCAUAAAAAUGGUGACCUGUCUCCUGACCUGCCGCCUGAUCUGCCUGCCAGGGUGGAUGCAGACCAACGUUUGCAAACCUUAACGGACAGUGUGAAUGCUGAUUGGAAAGACAGCAACUGGAGCUCACAAAUAAUUUCCCCAAAGGUCAAUUAGACAGACCCACAAGAUAUCUCUGGCACACAUAGGAAGUAUCGGCCUCAUCUAUAUUUAUUGUAAUUCCCUUCUCCCUGGUCCCAUUAAAGGAGAGUUUGGGGUGCAAUAAAUAUUUCAUGAUAAAAAUGUCCA
rnacentral:lncRNA from 1 species